AUGAACGCUUGCGGCGUGCCUAAUACAUGCAAGUCGAGCGAACAGAUGAGGAGCUUGCUCCUCUGACGUUAGCGGCGGACGGGUGAGUAACACGUGGAUAACCUACCUAUAAGACUGGGAUAACUUCGGGAAACCGGAGCUAAUACCGGAUAAUAUAUUUAACCGCAUGGUUCAAUAGUGAAAGACGGUUUUGCUGUCACUUAUAGAUGGGUCCGCGCCGGAUUAGCUAGUUGGUAAGGUAACGACUUACCAAGGCGACGAGGCGUAGCCGAACUGAGAGGGGGAUCGGCCACACUGGAACUGAGACACGGUCCAGACUCCUACGGGAGGCAGCAGUAGGGAAUCUUCCGCAAUGGGCGAAAGCCUGACGGAGCAACGCCGCGUGAGUGAUGAAGGUCUUCGGAUCGUAAAACUCUGUUAUUAGGGAAGAACAAAUGUGUAAGUAACUAUGCACGUAUUGACGGUACCUAAUCAGAAAGCCACGGCUAACUACGUG
rnacentral:rRNA from 1 species